AUGAGUUUUUUGAACAUUUUAUUGAUCGUUUCAUCUGCAGUACUAACAUAGUUUCAGAAACUAAGAAAAACAAAAAACAGUUUGAUGUGAACACAACAGAAGGGAGGGAGGGGAGGGGGAACAGGCAUCAGUGUGUACACACCAGCGAAGUACAUAUGUGUAGAGACACACCAGCGGGGUACACACAUGUAGAGACACACCAGCUGAGUACACACUUGAUGCUAAACUUGCUGUUUCAUGCAGGGAUGAAAGUCUACAAUUACAAUGUAUUCAAUGAUCAGUUGUACAACUCAAACAUCAUGAUCAGGUGUGACAGUAAACAGAACAUGCUUCUCAUAACUUAUACAAAAUAUUAUGAUUUAUACAGUGGAUUAAACACCCCCCCCCCUCCCCGUAGGCCCC